rnacentral:rRNA from 1 species
UGGGGAAUUUUGCACAAUGGAGGAAACUCUGAUGCAGCGACGCCGCGUGAGUGAUGAAGAUCUUCGGAUUGUAAAACUCUGUCCUUAGUGAAGAUAAUGACAGUAACUAAGAAGCAAGCCCUGGCUAAAUACGUGCCAGCAGCCGCGGUAAUACGUAUGGGGCAAGCGUUGUCCGGAAUUAUUGGGCGUAAAGGGUACGUAGGCGGUUUAAUUAGUCCUAAUUAAAAGGCUAUGGCUCAACCAUAGUAUGGUUAGGAAACUGUUGAACUUGAGUAGAUGAGGUGAAAGUGGAAUUCCAUGUGUAGCGGUGAAAUGCGUAGAUAUAUGGUGGAACACCAAUGGCGAAGGCAACUUUCUGGAAUCAAACUGACGCUGAGGUUCGAAGGCGUGGGGAGCAAACAGG